rnacentral:rRNA from 1 species
ACUCCUGCGGGAGGCAGCAGUGGGGAAUUUUGGACAAUGGGCGAAAGCCUGAUCCAGCAAUGCCGCGUGUGUGAAGAAGGCCUUCGGGUUGUAAAGCACUUUUGUCCGGAAAGAAAUCCUUGGCUCUAAUACAGUCGGGGGAUGACGGUACCGGAAGAAUAAGCACCGGCUAACUACGUGCCAGCAGCCGCGGUAAUACGUAGGGUGCGAGCGUUAAUCGGAAUUACUGGGCGUAAAGCGUGCGCAGGCGGUUUGCUAAGACCGAUGUGAAAUCCCCGGGCUCAACCUGGGAACUGCAUUGGUGACUGGCAGGCUAGAGUAUGGCAGAGGGGGGUAGAAUUCCACGUGUAGCAGUGAAAUGCGUAGAGAUGUGGAGGAAUACCGAUGGCGAAGGCAGCCCCCUGGGCCAAUACUGACGCUCAUGCACGAAAGCGUGGGGAGCAAACAGGAUUAGAAACCCCAGUAGUCCCAUG